CCUACGGGAGGCUGCAGUAGGGAAUUUUCGGCAAUGGGGGGAACCCUGACCGAGCAACGCCGCGUGAACGAAGAAGUUAUUCGUAAUGUAAAGUUCUUUCGGACGUGACGAUGAUGACGGUAGCGUCUAAAGAAGCACCGGCAAACUUCGUGCCAGCAGCCGCGGUAAUACGAAGGGUGCGAGCGUUGUUCGGAAUUACUGGGCGUAAAGGGAGUGUAGGCGGAUAUGUAAGAUAGCGGUGAAAUGCCGGGGCUCAACCCCGGAACUGCCAUUAUGACUAUGUAUCUAGAGUAAUGGAGAGGAUAGCGGAAUACCCAGUGUAGAGGUGAAAUUCGUAGAUAUUGGGUAGAACACCGGUGGCGAAGGCGGCUAUCUGGCCAUUUACUGACGCUGAGGCUCGAAAGCAUGGGGAUCAAACAGGAUUAGAUACCCUAGUAGUC
rnacentral:rRNA from 1 species